rnacentral:rRNA from 1 species
GACGAACGCUGGCGGCGUGCUUAACACAUGCAAGUCGAACGGAAAGGCCCUGCUUUUGUGGGGUGCUCGAGUGGCGAACGGGCGAGUAACACGUGAGUAACCUGCCGCUGACUUUGGGAUAACUUCAGGAAACUGGGGCUAAUACCGGAUAGGAGCUCCUGCUGCAUGGUGGGGGUGGGAAAGUUUCGGCGGUUGGGGAUGGACUCGCGGCUUAUCAGCUUGUUGGUGGGGUAGUGGCUUACCAAGGCUUUGACGGGUAGCCGGCCUGAGAGGGUGACCGGCCACCUUGGGCCUGCGAUACGGCCCAGACUCCUACGGGAGGCAGCAGUGGGGAAUAUUGCCCAAUGGGCGGAAGCCUGAUGCAGCAACGCCGCGUGCGGGAUGACGGCCUUCGGGUUGUAAACCGCUUUCGCCUGUGACGAAGCGUGAGUGACGGUAAUGGGUAAAGAAGCACCGGCUAACUACGUG